UAUUGUAGCUUAAUACUCUUACGUACAUACACACAGAAAUGUAUGGUUGCUGCUGUGCACGUACACAUAUAUACAUAUGUAUAUAACGAGAAGCGAUACGGCCUUCUCCUUCUCCGCUCGUGAUCGAGCAACAACACAAUUACAGUAAAUAGGUGAAAAAGACAACAGCGCGUAGUUGCACAAAUAAAAAAAAACAACCGCAAAGCACAGACACACAAUAUAUGUACAUACAUACAUAUACAAGGUAUUACGGUAAUCAAUGUCAAACGCUGCCGAUUUCAUUCGCAUGCACAACAAGCAACAACAAUAUCCGUCUGUCUGUCUCACUGUAUUUUUGUGUACUUGUACAAUACAAAAGCAAUUUAAGAGCAAUAGCAACUGACACAAAGCACACUACAUGCACACAUACACUCACACAAGUCUAUACAGAUUCGCGUUAAAUACAACUAAAAAUCAAGUGAGAAAUAUCCCCAACAACACAGCAUCGUUGAGAGAGCCGUUCUCUGAACUAGACACGGACGUGUGGAUAAAAUAUUUGACGGAAAUUCCAACAAAAUAAAAUGAUUUGGAAUAAACCAAAUUACCACUAGUAAUUUUUCAGAUUAACUUAGCAGGUUCCUUGUUGUUUUAACAUCUUUUUAUUUUACAUUGUAGAUCGUUUAAGUAAACUUUUUAAAUGCCAACUUUACCACUCAAAUACAUGGACAGAAAAUAAUACCACUUGUUGUUGGCUGCUUCUUGUUUUGGCAUAAUUAAAUGCAAUAUGUGCGAGCGUGACAGCAUCACAAUGCAUGACUAUCAACGCUGCUACUUGCUCUCUGGCAUGCUCAAAAGCAAGAUUUAUGCAAGUUUUCUGUUUGUAUAUACAUACACAAAUGCAUACGCACCAGCUUGUGUGUGUGUAAAUGCGUGUGUUGAGGCCCUCAGCAACAGCGAGCGAAAAUACAAAUUAUAGAAAAUCAGUGUCUCCACACACAAAUGACAAAGGUACAGUGGCUCCAACGCCAAAUCGGACAAGACUAUUUAUUUAUUUCAAUAAGUAUUUUCUUUAGCAGUAAGUUAACUUUUUACCGUUUUCACAUUUUUUCUCAAAUCUAAUAUGUAUUAGCCCCCUAAAACAAAAAAAAAAUUUUUUAAUUUCAAAUGACAACAUUUUUUUUAUUUUAAAAAACUAACAACAAGUCCGAUUUUGAGCUUCAACGCCAAAUCGGACAAAAGAAAACU